AUACGGAGGGUGCAAGCGUUAAUCGGAAUUACUGGGCGUAAAGCGCACGCAGGCGGUUUGUUAAGUCAGAUGUGAAAUCCCCGGGCUCAACCUGGGAACUGCAUCUGAUACUGGCAAGCUUGAGUCUCGUAGAGGGGGGUAGAAUUCCAGGUGUAGCGGUGAAAUGCGUAGAGAUCUGGAGGAAUACCGGUGGCGAAGGCGGCCCCCUGGACGAAGACUGACGCUCAGGUGCGAAAGCGUGGGGAGCAAACAGGAUUAGAUACCCUGGUAGUCCACGCCGUAAACGAUGUCGACUUGGAGGUUGUGCCCUUGAGGCGUGGCUUCCGGAGCUAACGCGUUAAGUCGACCGCCUGGGGAGUACGGCCGCAAGGUUAAAACUCAAAUGAAUUGACGGGGGCCCGCACAAGCGGUGGAGCAUGUGGUUUAAUUCGAUGCAACGCGAAGAACCUUACCUGGUCUUGACAUCCACGGAAGUUUUCAGAGAUGAGAAUGUGCCUUCGGGAACCGUGAGACAGGUGCUGCAUGGCUGUCGUCAGCUCGUGUUGUGAAAUGUUGGGUUAAGUCCCGCAACGAGCGCAACCCUUAUCCUUUGUUGCCAGCGGUCCGGCCGGGAACUCAAAGGAGACUGCCAGUGAUAAACUGGAGGAAGGUGGGAUGACGUCAAGUCAUCAUGGCCCUUACGACCAGGGCUACACACGUGCUACAAUGGCGCAUACAAAGAGAAGCGACCUCGCGAGAGCAAGCGGACCUCAUAAAGUGCGUCGUAGUCCGGAUUGGAGUCUGCAACUCGACUCCAUGAAGUCGGAAUCGCUAGUAAUCGUGGAUCAGAAUGCCACGGUGAAUACGUUCCCGGGCCUUGUACACACCGCCCGUCACACCAUGGGAGUGGGUUGCAAAAGAAGUAGGUAGCUUAACCUUCGGGAGGGCGCUUACCACUUUGUGAUUCAUGACUGGGGUG
rnacentral:rRNA from 1 species